rnacentral:misc_RNA from 1 species
CAACACUCAAGCCUAGCUUGGUAUUGAGCCACGUCCGCAAGGGCCGGCUUUAAAAUCAGUGGCGGCGCCAUCUGGCUCUCAGCGUAGUAAUACUCCUCGCUGUUGGGCCCUGGUGGAUGCUGGCCAGCAACCCCCAACUUUCUAA